UUUCUCUCAAACCUUCAUACUUGUUUGAUUUCAAGUUUGGACGACUUGUUUGUUAGCUGUCUCUAGUUAGAGUGCAUGAUCAAAGUUUGUGUUUCCUUCUUUUGUGAGAUUUCAAAAAGCUAAGCUUUUUCAGCCUUUUCAUCUUCUUUUGUGGGUUCAAGUUUGGAUGACAUUCUUGGUUAGAAUUUAGAAAUCAUGAUCAAAGCUUCUUUUUGGCUAUCUUUUGUGAGCUUCCAAAGUUUUAGUUUUUUUCUUUGUAAUGCACUUCUUUUUGUCCCUCGUAUAUGAAAUGCACGUCGUUGAAGCUUUUGAUUAGGGGCCAUUAAUUCCACCCGUUGAUUUGCGCCCAGAUUUCUCCCAGAAUUUGAGGAAGAUUUAGUUAAAGCGAAUAUAGAGAAUGUUCUAGAUUCUGAUGGCGAACUUUGUGAUACUGUAGGAACUUCACGAGAUUACCUAGCGAAGGUUCUUUUCUGGUGUAUGUUAUUAGGUCACCAUUUGAGAGGCUUGGAGAACAGAUUACAUUUGAGUUGUGUUGUUGGAUUGUUGUAAAGAGAGGAAAGAUAGAACGGGUGUAUAUUCUUCAUGUUCAUCUAUAUGAACCUUUUUGGUAAUUUGGUUUUCAUGCUCAUCUGUAUUACUAUUCUUUUCUAUCAAAUGAAAAGCUUCUUAGGAGUACCACCUUAAUAAUCGA